AGCGAACGCUGGCGGCAGGCUUAACACAUGCAAGUCGAGCGGGCAUCCUUGUGGUGUCAGCGGCAGACGGGUGAGUAACGCGUGGGAACGUGCCCUUCGGUUCGGAAUAACUCAGGGAAACUUGAGCUAAUACCGGAUACGUGCGAGAGCAGAAAGGUUUAUCUGCCGAAGGAUCGGCCCGCGUCUGAUUAGCUAGUUGGUGAGGUUACGGCUCACCAAGGCGACGAUCAGUAGCUGGUCUGAGAGGAUGAUCAGCCACACUGGGACUGAGACACGGCCCAGCCUCCUCCGGGAGGCAGCAGUGGGGAUAUUGGACAAUGGGGGCAACCCUGAUCCAGCCAUGCCGCGUGAGUGAUGACGGCCUUAGGGUUGUAAAGCUCUUUUCUCCGGGACGAUAAUGACGGUACCGGAGGAAUAAGCCCCGGCUAACUUCGUG
rnacentral:rRNA from 1 species